AGAGUUUGAUCAUGGCUCAGAACGAACGCUGGCGGCGUGGAUAAGACAUGCAAGUCGAACGCUGAUUUCAGGGUAGCAAUAUUCUGAAGUCGGAGUGGCGCAAGGGUGCGUAACACGUGGGUAAUUUGCCGUGAAGUUGGGGAUAACUUGCUGAAAGGCGAGCUAAUACCGAAUGUGAAAAUUAAGAGGCAUCUCUCGAUUUUCAAAGUUGGGGACCGCAAGGCCUGACGCUUUACGAUGAGCCCGCGGCCUAUCAGCUAGUUGGUGAGGUAACGGCUCACCAAGGCUAAGACGGGUAGCUGGUCUGAGAGGACGACCAGCCUCACUGGAACUGAGACACGGUCCAGACACCUACGGGUGGCAGCAGUCGAGAAUUUUUCACAAUGGGCGAAAGCCUGAUGGAGCGACGCCGCGUGGGGGAUGAAGGGCUUCGGCCCGUAAACCCCUGUCAUUUGCGAACAAACCUUUCCGUUUAACAUGCGGAAGGCUGAUUGUAGCGAAAGAGGAAGGGACGGCUAACUCUGUGCCAGCAGCCGCGGUAAUACAGAGGUCCCAAGCGUUGUUCGGAUUCACUGGGCGUAAAGGGUGCGUAGGUGGUCGGGUAAGUCUGAUGUGAAAUCUCCGAGCUCAACUCGGAAAUGGCAUUGGAUACUAUUCGGCUGGAGGGUUGGAGGGGGGACUGGAAUUCUCGGUGUAGCAGUGAAAUGCGUAGAUAUCGAGAGGAACACCAGUGGCGAAGGCGAGUCCCUGGACAACUCCUGACACUGAGUCACGAAAGCUAGGGGAGCAAACAGGAUUAGAUACCCUAGUAGUCC
rnacentral:rRNA from 1 species